rnacentral:rRNA from 1 species
GCAAGGGGACCACCUUGAACAUACUGAUCUCAUCUGAUUUUGGAAGCUCUGCAGGGUCAGGCCUGGCGAAUAAUUGGAUGGGAGAGCAGCUGAAAACACUAGGUAUCUCCUUGUA